rnacentral:rRNA from 1 species
UACGUAGGGUGCGAGCGUUGUCCGGAAUUAUUGGGCGUAAAGGGCGCGUAGGCGGUGUGUCAAGUCAGGCGUGAAAGCCCCCGGGCUCAACCUGGGAACAGCGCUUGAGACUGGCACGCUCGAGUUCGGGAGAGGAUGGUGGAAUUCCCAGUGUAGAGGUGAAAUUCGUAGAUAUUGGGAAGAACACCGAUGGCGAAGGCAGCCAUCUGGACCGACACUGACGCUGAGGCGCGAAAAGCGUGGGGGAGCAAACAGG